rnacentral:rRNA from 1 species
ACGGUGAGGUAAUUGGCUUAAAUCGGGGAAUGAGCGCAACCCUCAUCGCUAGUUGCCAUCAGGUAACGUUGGGAGCUCUAGAGAAACUUCCGUCGUAAGACGUGAGGAAGGAGGGGAUGAUCUCAACUCAUCAUGGCGGGGAUGCCCAGGGGUACACACGUGCGGCAAUAGGAGGUGCAAAGAGCGGCGGCGCAGCGAUUUGAAGAAAAUCGUUCUCAAUGUGUAUCGGUGCAGACAGGAGUCUGCAACUAGGCUGCAUGAAGUAGGAUAUGGCGAGUAAUAGCGCCGCGGCGAAUAUGUUCCGGGGCCUUGUACACACCGCGCGUCACACCCCGGUAGUGGCAUGUACCCGGAGUGUGCGUCAUGUCCGUCAAGGGAGGGAGCCGCCGAAGGUAGGAUUGAUGAUUGGGGUGAAGUCGUAACAAGGUAA